rnacentral:rRNA from 1 species
CGAUUGACGGAGCGAAGCGACGUCAAAGCGUUCAUUAAAGUCGAGUUGGCUUAGGGAUACGUUCGUUGGGUAGGGGAGCGUUCUGUAAGCCUGUGAAGGUGUGUCGUGAGGCAUGCUGGAGGUAUCAGAAGUGCGAAUGCUGACAUAAGUAACGAUAAAGCGGGUGAAAAGCCCGCUCGCCGGAAGACCAAGGGUUCCUGUCCAACGUUAAUCGGGGCAGGGUGAGUCGACCCCUAAGGCGAGGCCGAAAGGCGUAGUCGAUGGGAAACGGGUUAAUAUUCCCGUACUUGGUGUUACUGCGAAGGGGGGACGGAGAAGGCUAUGUUGGCCGGGCGACGGUUGUCCCGGUUUAAGCGUGUAGGUGUGUGUUCCAGGUAAAUCCGGUUCACUUUAACACUGAGGCGUGAUGACGAGGCACUACGGUGCUGAAGCAACAAAUGCCCUGCUUCCAGGAAAAGCCUCUAAGCAUCAGGUAACAUCAAAUCGUACCCCAAACCGACACAGGUGGUCAGGUAGAGAAUACCAAGGCGCUUGAGAGAACUCGGGUGAAGGAACUAGGCAAAAUGGUGCCGUAACUUCGGGAGAAGGCACGCUGACACGUAGGUGAAGUGAUUUACUCAUGGAGCUGAAGUCAGUCGAAGAUACCAGCUGGCUGCAACUGUUUAUUAAAAACACAGCACUGUGCAAACACGAAAGUGGACGUAUACGGUGUGACGCCUGCCCGGUGCCGGAAGGUUAAUUGAUGGGGUCAGCGUAAGCGAAGCUCCUGAUCGAAGCCCCGGUAAACGGCGGCCGUAACUAUAACGGUCCUAAGGUAGCGAAAUUCCUUGUCGGGUAAGUUCCGACCUGCACGAAUGGCGUAAUGAUGGCCAGGCUGUCUCCACCCGAGACUCAGUGAAAUUGAACUCGCUGUGAAGAUGCAGUGUACCCGCGGCAAGACGGAAAGACCCCGUGAACCUUUACUAUAGCUUGACACUGAACAUUGAGCCUUGAUGUGUAGGAUAGGUGGGAGGCUUUGAAGUGUGGACGCCAGUCUGCAUGGAGCCGACCUUGAAAUACCACCCUUUAAUGUUUGAUGUUCUAACGUGGACCCGUAAUCCGGGUUGCGGACAGUGUCUGGUGGGUAGUUUGACUGGGGCGGUCUCCUCCUAAAGAGUAACGGAGGAGCACGAAGGUUGGCUAAUCCUGGUCGGACAUCAGGAGGUUAGUGCAAUGGCAUAAGCCAGCUUGACUGCGAGCGUGACGGCGCGAGCAGGUGCGAAAGCAGGUCAUAGUGAUCCGGUGGUUCUGAAUGGAAGGGCCAUCGCUCAACGGAUAAAAGGUACUCCGGGGAUAACAGGCUGAUACCGCCCAAGAGUUCAUAUCGACGGCGGUGUUUGGCACCUCGAUGUCGGCUCAUCACAUCCUGGGGCUGAAGUAGGUCCCAAGGGUAUGGCUGUUCGCCAUUUAAAGUGGUACGCGAGCUGGGUUUAGAACGUCGUGAGACAGUUCGGUCCCUAUCUGCCGUGGGCGCUGGAGAACUGAGGGGGGCUGCUCCUAGUACGAGAGGACCGGAGUGGACGCAUCACUGGUGUUCGGGUUGUCAUGCCAAUGGCACUGCCCGGUAGCUAAAUGCGGAAGAGAUAAGUGCUGAAAGCAUCUAAGCACGAAACUUGCCCCGAGAUGAGUUCUCCCUGAGACUUAGAGUCUCCUGAAGGAACGUUGAAGACGACGACGUUGAUAGGCCGGGUGUGUAAGCGCAGCGAUGCGUUGAGCUAACCGGUACUAAUGAACCGUGAGGCUUAACCUUACA